rnacentral:rRNA from 1 species
UACGUAGGGACCAAGCGUUGUUCGGAUUUACUGGGCGUAAAGGGCGCGUAGGCGGCGUGGUAAGUCACUUGUGAAAUCUCUGAGCUUAACUCAGAACGGCCAAGUGAUACUGCUGUGCUAGAGUGCAGAAGGGGCAAUCGGAAUUCUUGGUGUAGCGGUGAAAUGCGCAGAUAUCAGGAGGAACACCGGUGGCGAAGGCGGAUCUCUGGGCCUUACCUGACGCGUGAGGCGACGAAAGCUAGGGGAGCAAACAGG